ensembl:lncRNA
UGACCAUGUGAAGAGUCUGUGGAGGAUGGACAGAGUUGGAAUCUUGUGGUCUUUCAGAGGGACUUUGCUCAAAAGAAGCUUGUAUUUUGGAUCAGGAAUUGAAAUAUAGAGACAAAAGAUGGAAGGAGGAUUUGAGCUCUGUUUCAGGCUCAGGCAUCUUCUCCAGGGCAUCAACUCUCAUCCACAGAAAACUAGGUGCAGGAGAAUUUGAGAGAUGGGGACAUGCAUUAUUGUGUAACUCUUGGAAAGUCACUUGACCUCUCUAAAUUUCAACACCCUCCAAUGUCACAUACGGGUUACAGCCCCCACUUUGUCCCCCCUUCCUCCCCAACUGGGCUGGAUGUCAGAGGAGGCAAUCAUAAAUACUCUCCAUGAGCUGUAAAGCCUUAUUUGUGUGAAAAAGCUGGAGUAUGGUUCUGUCCCCACUUACUUGGAGCCAUCCAAACGCCCCAUCUGUUUUCAACCACUACUAAAGGUCCACCUUAUUCUCACCAUCAUUGAAGACUGAACACUUAUAGAAAGGUUAUGAAGCUACAGUGCUUUACUUUUCUAUUUAUUUAUUUGUCUAUCUAUCUAUUUUUUUAUUUGGCUGCAUUGGGUCUUAGUCGUGGCACAUGGGAUCUUUGUUGCAUCAUGCAGAUCUUUUUUUGCAGUGCACUGAUUCUCUAGUUGUGGCGCUUGGGCUCAGUAGCUGCAACAUGUGGGCUUAGUUGCUGCAAGCCAUGUGUGGGAUCUUGGUUCCCUGACCAGAAAUCAAAUCCCCAUUCGUGCAUUGCAAGGCAGAUUCUUAGCACUGGACCUCCAGGGAAGUCCCUCCUUUACUUUUCUAAUAUUUUAACUGCAUACAGUCAAUCUUGGCCUCAUAAUACUAAAACUAGGCCAUAUUAACAUUUCUCCAACUCAGUACAGGGAACUGAAUCAGAGAGGGAUCUAUAUGUGUUUCCCAAAUAUUUGUUUCUCCUGAAUGGGGUUUGAAUCCAGCCCAUCAGGGAUGGUCACUGCUCUGCUGAGCUUCUAAGUCUCAGUUAAAUAGAGAUAUUUACCUGGACAUGCAGUCUGUUGGAUGUUUUCAGGGUACAUAAAACUAUAUAUUUUCCUAACUCCACCUUGGACCAGGAGGUCCUGCUAGGCAUCUGGUGAGGAAGGGGAUUGAAUUGUGGAUCAAUUAUUAUUAGUUUCCCUGUGGUCUUGUGCCAGCAAGAUGUCAACAGCUCUCUCCAUUAUAAUGCAUUUCCCAGGAUGCUUCACCCCGAAAGCCAGAAAAACCAUCGCUUAGCAGUUCAAGAGCAUCGGUCUCCAGCUGGGUGAAGAGGGUUCGUUGUUGGUCACGAAAUAGGGUGCACCUUAUAACUGACCCAGUUAGAGGUACUCUGGAAAUUUUCUUAUUAAAUUCACUCAUGAAUAAUUAUUGUAGUAUAUGCAGUUCCUCAUAUUUAAGAAAAAAGCUGAAAUAUUAAGCAAUGUUCCUCUUUUAUUAUAUGUGUUCAAAUGGCAACUUACUACAUCAGUUCGUACUGUUUUAACUAUGGAAAGAAAGAUGCACUUUAAAUUCAACAUCUGGUUCGUGUUUAAGAGUGAAGAUGGUCUCUUGCUAUGGUUUGUACAUUAGCUAACUUUUUAACAUUAGCUGUCAUAUGUUCCUCCCUGAAGCCAUGUUUCAAGAUUUCUUCAAAUUAUUAGACUUUAUUUAGAACAGGAUUACAUUGACAUAAAAGUUUUAAAAAUAGUACAGAAAAUUCUUAUAUCCUAUCAUUUCAGUUUCAGCAAUCAUAUGUUACUCAGAGAUAACAUAUGUGUGGAAGGUUUAUUACAAUUAGUGAGAUAAUAUAUUAUUAGCAGUUAAAAAUCCAUAGUUCACCUUAAAUUCACAGUUUUUAUUGUUACACUCAAUGAUAUUUUAAAUAUUCACAUUAUUUAUCACCAUUAUGGUACCAUACAGAAAUCCAUACACUAAUGUACAGUGUAUUAUUAGUACUCACAUGAUAGAAACAACCCAAAGACUAUAAUGUGAUCAAUGGAUAUAUAUAUAUAUAUAUACAUAUA